rfam:Colletotrichum incanum strain MAFF 238704 contig2252, whole genome shotgun sequence.
GGUGGGAUGGCCGAGUGGUCCAAGGCGACAGAUUUAAGCUCUGUUACUCGUGAGAGUGCGCGGGUUCGAACCCCGCUCCCAUCA